rnacentral:rRNA from 1 species
AUGAACGCUAGCGGUGCGCCUAACACAUGCAAGUCGAGCGAGAUUAUUUGUGACACAGAGUAGAGAAGUUUACUUCUACAUUCUGUGUCACAGGUAGUUUAGCGGCAAACGGGUGCGUAACACGUUGAUACUUCCCCCAGAGUCAGGGAUAACCUCAAGAAAUUGAGAUUAAUACCGGAUGGUCCCGUAAGGGUAAAGGAGCAAUUCGCUCUGGGAAAGGUCUGCGGCCUAUCAGCUAGUUGGCGGGGUAAUAGCCCACCAAGGCAAUGACGGGUAGCUGGUCUGAGAGGACGGCCAGCCACAAUGGAACUGAGACACGGUCCAUACUCCUACGGGAGGCAGCAGUGAGGAAUCUUCCACAAUGGACGAAAGUCUGAUGGAGCGACACCGCGUGAAGGAUGAAGCCUUUGUUGGUGUAAACUUCUUUUCUCUGGGAAGAUAAUGACGGUACCAGAGGAAUAAGGGGCGGCAAACUUCGU